rnacentral:lncRNA from 1 species
CGAGGCAAUUUCCCCAUCAGUCUCUUACAAUAUUAGGCCAAUUUUGCAUAUUUGGAACUUUAUGUUGUGCAAACCAAUCGGCGCCCAAGCUCACAUGACCAUAGGUUAUGGGAAAAACAUCACACCACACCUCCUCAUGGUAAUUAAAUUGAGAGAAGACAACUUUUACCCUCUCGGUAACCUUAAACCUGUCCAAGAAGUAUGGAACAAGUAAAGGCUCGCAAAAUAACCCCAAGUAAUCAACCAUGG